UGGGGGAUUGUGUAAGGGUAGCACGACAGGUUCUGGCCCUGUUAGUGAGGGUUCGAAUCCUUCUCCCCCAG
rnacentral:tRNA from 1 species